rnacentral:misc_RNA from 1 species
AAAAAUUAAAUAUUUAAUUUUUUUUUUUUUACAGUUUUAAAUUUUCCAUAUUUGAGAAUUAUAAAAAAAAUAAUUAAAAUUUUCAAAUACGAUAAUAAAGAACUUCAAAUUCACAAUAAAAAUAUUUUUAAAAAUAAAAAAUAUCAAAUUCGAGUUUUUAUAUUUACUAAAUUUAAAAGUAUUAUCUCUAUAGCAAAAAAUUUUAUUUUUUAUUAUGUAAUUCAUUAUUUAUUUUU